CAGUCGCCGCGGGAAUACAGAGGGUGCGAGCGUUAAUCGGAUUUACUGGGCGUAAAGCGUGCGUAGGCGGCUUCUUAAGUCGGAUGUGAAAUCCCUGAGCUUAACUUAGGAAUUGCAUUCGAUACUGGGAAGCUAGAGUAUGGGAGAGGAUGGUAGAAUUCCAGGUGUAGCGGUGAAAUGCGUAGAGAUCUGGAGGAAUACCGAUGGCGAAGGCAGCCAUCUGGCCUAAUACUGACGCUGAGGUACGAAAGCAUGGGGAGCAAACAGGAUUAGAUACCCGCGUAGUCCCUGUCUCUUAUAU
rnacentral:rRNA from 1 species